AGCUCAGCCAAUCAGAUUAUCUCUGUCCCUGGAAUGAGACUCACCAGGAUGGAGAAGGAUCGAAGCUGAAUCAACACGACUAUAGAUCUCAAUUUCAUAAUCUGACAAAGGCCUUCCAGUAAAUUCAUUUUUAACUUAACAGAGAGCCCCUAACAUUGUAUAUCCACCUGGGGCCCUCUUCCUGUCAUGACUUAUAUCAUAUGGUGUCCCCAUUAAUGCUAGUCCAUAGACUUGUGGAAAC
rnacentral:lncRNA from 1 species